ACUAUGAAUAUAUAUUAAUAUCAAUUAAAUACUAUACACUAUCUUUGAGCUUUUGAAGCGUAAUAGUUAAUGAAACUGUCUUCAAAACGACUCGUUUUUAAAACUGGCAAGUCAUAUUUUGAGGUAAACCUAAGAUUUAUAUUGUUUGAAUUUAGUGAUGGUAUAAAUCCGCUAAUUUGUGGGUAUUGUUAAUAGAUGCUGAGUUAAAAAGUUCUCUGCGUACCCGCCAAGGAUUGUAGGCCUGUUAGUUUUAACGCGUCACCAUAAUGUCCUCUGGGUAAAGCAUACACAAAGCAAUCAAGUCUCGACAGUCAGGCUAUCACUUACUGACUAACCUAUAAACUUGUCGAACCCCAAUUUACAUACUUUCACUCAAAAUAUGACGCAUGCAUUUGAUUGAAUGUGUUCAUGUUGUGCGACGUCCUGAAACGACACUCUGUUCUCGCAUUUCUUCUUUGUCUAAACUCGGGCACAUUAGCGCUGAGUUUUGUUGUUCUUCGUUUUGACUCUGCCGUCUCCACAGCCACGUCGAACACCAGCUCUAUCGGGUGUAGACGUUAUAAACCUCCUGUUUAGCGUAUUCUGUCCCACUAAUAAUUUCCCUCUUCGCACUUUCUGCAUGACCGGAGAAGUUUUUUCUGUACCCAAACUUUUUUCUUCCCCCUAUCGUUUCAAAUACUUUAUAUAACACAUUAAUUUCUCCAUAUUCUUGAUUACACGUGUUGGGAGUUUUCUCAGUCGUCGGAUCCAAUCUCUCUCUCGUAACUUUGCUACAACAAUUAGAUCUACUACCCCGUGAAGGGUAACAUUCUGAGAAUGAUCCAUCAGAUUCUAUUCCGGUCGUUCGACUUCUUUUCGUUCUUUUCGUAUUUGUUGCUCUAAUUCCUUGAACCAUUUCUGUUUCUCACGGCGUAUUUCUCGCACCUUUCAGGUUCUCGUUGACGACAACUCAUUUUAACAAAGCUUUCUUUUACUGUAUUCGUUUCUUGUGUUGUUCUCCCUCGAUUGUUUCCUUUCCUUUCCAGCGUUCCGUCUUCGCUGUUGAUUCUCUCUCACUCCUUCUUUUCACAUUCUUCUUUUCGUUUGUAUUCCAAUCUUUCUAUCCUCUGCCUCUCUUCUUCUUCUCUCUCUCUUCUGUCGUUUCUGUCCAAUCCUUUGCCGUUCCCACGGUUCUCUUUUCACUCUUUCGCAUUCUUGUUUCUCUAACUUACUAAGCGAUUCGAAAUUUUCAGAAUUGUUGCUGGGCAACAAAAGGUGUUACCUCUAUAAUGGUAAUCUAAUACAAUUAUUAUACCAUUCAUUAUUUAUGACUGGAGGUGGGCUUGCAAAAUUCAAUUAACAACUAAACAAAAUGUCCUGCCCCACCCCCUGCAUCACAAAAAAAAAAUCAAUGACUUCCUUCACAUGAAUUCUAAAAAAUAGCAACCACCACCG
rnacentral:lncRNA from 1 species